AGCGAACGCAAAGUUUCUCGUUGAACACAAAAUGUUUCGCGAGCGAACGCAAAGUUUCUCGUUGAACGCAAAAUGUUUCGCGAGCGAACGCAGUUUCUCGUUGAACGCAAAAUGUUUAGCGAGCGAACGCAAAGUUUCUCGGGGAACACAAAACGUUUAGCGAGCGAACACAAAGUUACUCUGGGAAAUGCAAAACAUUUUGGGAGCGAACGCAAAGUUUCUCGUUGAACGCAAAAUGUUUAGCGAGCGAACGCAAAGUUUCUCGGGGAACACAAAACGUUUAGCGAGCGAACACAAAGUUUCUCAUUGAACGCAAAAUGUUUAGCGAGCGAACGCAAAGUUUUUCGGGGAAUACAAAACGUUUAGCGAGCGAACGCAAAGUUUUUCGGGGAAUACAAAACGUUUAGCGAGCGAACGCAAAGUUUUUCGGGGAAUACAAAAUGUUUAGCGAUCGAACACAAAGUUUCUCGGGGAACGCAAAACGUUUAGCGAGCGAACACAAAGUUUCUCGGGGAACGCAAAACGUUUAGCGAGCGAACGCAAAGUUUCUCGGGGAACGCAAAACGUUUAGCGAGCGAACGCAAAUUUUUCGGGGAAUACAAAAUGUUUAGCGAGCGAACGCAAAGUUUCUCGUGGAACGCAAAAUGUUUAGCGAGCGAACGCAAAGUUUCUCGUGGAACGCAAAAUGUUUAGCGAGCGAACGCAAAGUUUCUCGGGGAA